rnacentral:lncRNA from 1 species
UCUAGAAGGCGUUUACUGAUGUUAUCUUGCAUGUGAGCUGUUACAGAAAAAUAUGUGCUUUUUAACAAGGUGAGGCUGCAGCGCCCAAAUAUUAGCUGUUAGUUUGGCAGGUCCUAGCCUUCAAUUCUUGCCCCUAAACCAUGGGCCUUGCAGUGAACUGCGCUUGGCUCAUAGCUGGGACCAUCAUUGCAGUGCACCAGCCAGCACAGAAACCAGCAGCCCUUCUUACCAUACUCAACCACCAGACUGGGCUUCAGACUCUGGAGGGGCCUGGCUGGUUUUACCCUUUUCCUUUGUGCUGGGGCCACCAGCAGGAGAACCAGACUCUCUCCCUUCCGUUGGUCCCACAGGCAAUGGACCUGUGUGGUCCCAUGCUGGGGCUGUCAAUUAAAUCAUGUUUCCAUCCGAGCUGCUGCUUCUCAUAGGAGGUGUUCCCGUGGCGGAGGCCAGGCCACGUUCAUUGCGGUCAGUGCUCCCAUCUGCAAUGUGGACCUUUAAGGGUGCCAAGGGCCACUAAACAUGAGCUGUUACUCAGCUUUUUCCUUACCAAAAGAGAGUGCAGUGUUGGAUUUUGGUAGUUUAGGUGGGUAGCUGCUUUAUUUCCAUGUUCUAGAGAAGCCCAAGUGAGUAAUCCAAGAAUGCCUAGAAAGUUCAAGAAAAGGGAAUUACUGGGAUGUUGGAUCUGCAUCCACCUCCAGCAGUUGGUAGUCAGACGACCACAAGGGUGGCUGUGGCAGCGGCCUGGAGGCUUCACCCACAGCUCGCACCCGUGCACGGCUGCGAGGUGACAGGCCUUGUGCAACAGGUGACAGCAGAACUCGGCGGCAGAAGCGGGUCCAUGCUGGAGCUGGCCCGGGGCAGCCCUGGAUGCAGUGAAGACCUGCCGCUGCAGGCCCCGUGCGGGCUUUCACAGUCCGCAAGCGGCCCGGGGCUGCGGACACCCCGCGCUGCAGCGCCCGUCCCGGGAGCGCCGCCGCUGUCCGCCCCUCACCCUGCCGGGGCGCCCGGCCCUGGCCUGCCCUUGGAGGGACGGGGCCGAGCGAGGUCUCCGGUAACGUGCCCCCGCGGAGAGUCCGCUCAGCAACAGCUGUGGUGGCGGUAACGGCCGUUAAGAGCGGACAAAGCGUGAGCUGCCGGCCCGCGGCCGCUUGUGCCCUCUGCGCCGCCGUACGAGGCCGCUCCUUCCUCAAACAUGGCCGCCCCGGCAGAGCCCGCCUCACUCCGCCGUCCGUCGGCGCUGCCGUCGCCCGCCCGCCACCGG